UACGUAGGCAGCGAGCGUUGUUCGGAGUUACUGGGCGUAAAGAGUGCGUAGGCGGUUUUCUAAGUUUGGUGUGAAAUCUCCCGGCUUAACUGGGAGGGUGCGCCGAAAACUGGAAGGCUUGAGUAUGGGAGAGGUAAGCGGAAUUCCUGGUGUAGCGGUGAAAUGCGUAGAUAUCAGGAGGAACACCUGCGGUGCAGACGGCUUACUGGACCAUAACUGACGCUGAGGCACGAAAGCGUGGGUAGCAAACAGG
rnacentral:rRNA from 1 species